GUGAAUCAUCAAAUCUUUGAACGCAAAUUGCGCUCUCUUGGGAGAGUAUGCGUGUUUGAGGGUCAGCCUCAAAAAAAUCGACGUAGUCGCUGUUUCGGGGUGACAUUCGUCGGAUAUUGGGUCAUCUUAAACCUUUGGGUUUUUUAAGCGGCUUACAAUUUUCUUUACGAUUCCACGUACGUUUCUAAGAUUUU
rnacentral:misc_RNA from 1 species